GCCAGCGUGGACUAGUGGUUUGAGUGUUGGAUUACGACUCUGGAGAUCUGGGUUCAAAUCCCCGCUCGAGUG